GACGAACCGUGCGAACGUUGUUCGGAUUCAUUGGGCGUAAAGGGUGCGUAGGCGGCGCGGUAAGUCGGGUGUGAAAUCUCGGGGCUUAACUCCGGAACUGCAUUCGAUACUGCCGUGCUUGAGGACUGGAGAGGAGACUGGAAUUUACGGUGUAGCGGUGAAAUGCGUAGAUAUCGUAAGGAAGACCAGUGGCGAAGGCGGGUCUCUGGACAGCUCCUGACGCUGAGGCACGAAGGCCAGGGGAGCAAACGGG
rnacentral:rRNA from 1 species